rnacentral:tRNA from 1 species
GAUCAGUGAGCUUGAAAAUAAGCAUAUGUUUUGAAAACAUAAGAUAAAAAUAAUUUUUAUUGAUUU